ensembl:lncRNA
CCCCCCUGUCUAUCGUUAGGAGCAAUGAAGCUUUCGCUGUGGUAAGUCCUCUCCGUCCGCUCUCACAGAGCAUGAGUUUAAAACAUAUUUUUUUAAAUCCUCAUCCAGAGAGUUUUAUUCGCACAGCGCUGGAAAGAGAAGCUGGCCAGGGGUUACACUUAACUGUUUAUCUAUCUGCCAAACUGGAACGUACAGGGAGGGCCGAACACACAUAAUACAGUAGCUGCUAAUGUGUUAACGGUAGGUAUAACUACUAUCGCAAUUUUGUUUUAAAAAAUACAGUAAGUAAAUGUAAAUAACCUUAAUAUACCCAUAAUGCAAAGCAAUAAUUAACUGUAGAAAUGUUUUCAGGUAAGUUACUGGGCAUUUUGUGGUAUUUUACUGUGGAAAAAAUACAGCAAAGGUUAACAGUGCACAUUGUGAAAAAAUUUCGUACUGUAGUUCUUUAAAUCGGUUACAAACAUAGAUUUUAGAUGGAAGGAGCAGGAUUUUUGUCCCAUGCUUGUAUAUCUAUUUCACAUUUAAGCAGCGUCCCCCAAGAUUUUCUCAAUUAUGGCAGUUUAUCCACAAUUAGGGCAUAAAUUUAUUACAACUGGAGAGACAUGCUGACUGCAUUACAGAUUUACAAUGUGGGAAAUAUAACAUAACAUAACAUAACUCUCACCUCUGUAUUGAAAGAAAUGAAGCUCAACAGACCUGGCCUUGGAACUAGAUGAAGCUGUCUGUCACGGCGGGGUGCACACCCGAUGUGGAAACAGGACCCAAAGCAGAUGAUGACGAGGAGUAGUAAGUUUAAACAGAAAAGUGAUCCUUUAUUGAGAUGACGGCAGGGAAAACCAAGAAACCAAAGCAAACUGUCAAAAACACUACGAAACAAAACACUAAGAGGUACUAAGACCUAUAACUAUAACUGUGGAAAACAGGCAAAGACGAAAACUAAGGCUAAGGUCAAAAUAAUAGAACCAGGCUAGAUAGGGCAGAAUGAACAGACGACCCAACAAUGGCAUGCAGAAAACAAAGGGCUUGAAUAUAUAGAUGACUUAAUGAGGUUAAAAUUGAACAUAUGUUAUUCUGACAAUGUGUUCUUCGUUCAUAUUCUGUCCUGUUAUCCCUAAUCACCCUAAUGACAGGACAUAAACAUAAUGUCCUGUCAUUAGGGUGAUUAUAUUUGGAGAGCAUUUUCUCAUUAUCAUUAUAACAGCUGGGAUCAUUACGCCAAAAUAAACAAAUUACACAUCCCACCGCAGUCAAUUAUGGGAUGCAUAAUGUAGUCUGGCUGUGUAUAUGUAUGUAUGUAUGUAUCUAGUAUAGAUAAGAGGGCACUGUUGCCCAAAGGUAAUGACUCAUAAUCAGAAUCAGAAUCAGAAUGGUAUUGCCAGAUGUUGAGGUUUACAACAUUAGGAAAUUGCUGCGGUGCUUCAGUGCAGACAAUAAGAAUUAAAGUGCUAUGUAGAAAGAAAGAUAUGUGCAUGAGAUAUACAUGAGAAUAAGAAUUAUGAGUGCUACGUAGAAAGAUAUAUACAUGAGUGCAGGUGGUGAUCAGUGCCAAACAUGAAAUGAUGAAGUGACACAGCGUAGGGUCAUGUGUUAGUGGCGGGGACAAUCAUGUGGUAAUUGUUCAUGUGUCCAACAGCAGAGGGGAAGAAACUGUUCUUAUGGCGAGAGGUUCUGGUGCGAAUGGACCGGAGCCUCCUGCCUGAGGGGAGCAGGUCAAACAGACUGUGUCCAGGGUGAGAAGGGUCAGCUGAGAUCCGGGCUGCACGCCGCAGUGUCCUGGAGGUGUACAGGUCCUGCAGAGAUGGGAGUCUGCAGCCAAUCACCUUCUCAGCAGAGCGCACAACACGCUGCAGUCUCUGUUUGUCCCUGAUAGUGGCUCCAUAUUAUAUACAUUACAACACUGAGUCCUUCCAGUGACGUGCAUUUGAUGUCAUUAUGCUUGGUGUUGAUAGAAAUACUGAAAUCUCUCUAAGUGAAAUAUUAUUGUGUCCCGGGUUAUUAUGCUUGAAUAAUUGCUCUGCGUCAGAACAACCAGCUGCUGCGAAUGCAGCAGUAAAGAAAAUGUGUUUUUCCUUCAGUCCGAUGGAGGAUAAAUCUUAGAAAGAGUAAAAAGCAGUUGAACGAUAAUUUGAAGAAAGAAAAUCCAGAUUCUACCAGUUUCAGGCUUUAAUUUGCUCAGGGGCAGUUGACAGCAGAUCGACAGGGCCUGGCUUCAGACACGGUCAGCGUGAAGCAGAGGCUCGUGUUGGAGGGGCGGGCUGAGUCCGUUUGAAGUGUGUCUGUGUAAAAAUAGCCGCUGCAGCCGUUUUGCGCGCCCUGGCCAGGCAUACCAACCUUGGAACCAGGUGUACCUCCAGCCAGCUCGCAGGAGGGAUCAUGGGAAACAGUUUAGUUGCACAUGGCACAUCCAGGGCACAGCUACCUGCUGCACGUGCUUAUCAUCUCACCCACAGAUGUGGGUGUGAUGUGAACAGAUGUUCACUGUGAUAUGUAAGACAGACAUACAGUAUCAUAAUAUCGCAGCCUGUUUGCAUUAAAACUCUCCUCUCACUGUCAUUGGUUUAGCUUGAGGUUUUCAAACUGAUAAGAAAUAAAUAUACUGCUGUGAUAUAAGACAGACAUACAGUGAGUGAGUCAGCCAAAUACAUAAAAUUAAACAUGGCUGAUGUUAUUCCAGGUACACACGUACCACAGACUUUUUAGGCAUGUGUGAAAAGAGGUGUGCUCACUUCAGUCAAUCAAUCAUACUAUGUGUAUUCUUCCCUUCGCUUCCCUCCAAGACAUCUACAGGAAGCGGUGCCUGAGGAAAGCGGGGAGGAUCAUCAAGGACUCCAGUUACCCCAGCCAUAAACUGUUCAGACUGCUUCCAUCAGGAAGGAGGUUCUGCAGCAUCCGGUCCCGUACCAGCAGACUGAGAGACAGCUUCUUCCAUCAGGCCAUCAGACUGCUGAACACGUCAUAGACACCUCAGCUUCACUACUGGAACUUCAACAUUAUGCACUCCACACUGUAUAUAAAUGCCACUUGUUUUGCACAUAUUCAACUCUGUAUAUUCUAUAUAUUUUAUUAUUAUUAUUAUUAUUUUUUAUUAUUUUUAUUUAUCUAUUUUUUACUAUUUAAUUUGUAAAAAUGUGUAUACACACACACACAGGAAAAUAUUUAGUAUACACAUCCAGAAAUGCAUACACUAUUAUAUAUUGUACAUACAGUGGGGCAAAAAAGUAUUUAGUCAGCCACCGAUUGUGCCCCCACUUAAAAUGAUGACAGAGGUCAGUAAUUUGCACCAGAGGUACACUUCAACUGUGAGAGACAGAAUGUGAAAAAAAAAUCCAUGAAUCCACAUGGUAGGCUUUGUAAAGAAUUUAUUCGUAAAUCUGGGUGGAAAAUAAGUAUUUGGUCAAUACCAAAAAUACAACUCAAUACUUUGUAACAUAACCUUUGUUGGCAAUAACAGAGGUCAAACGUUUACUAUAGGUCUUUACCAGGUUUGCACACACAGUAGCUGGUAUUUUGGCCCAUUCCUCCAUGCAGAUCUUCUCGCGAGCAAGCUCUUUGGUCUUGGCCAUGGCGGAGUUUGGAGUCUGACUGUUUGAGGCUGUGGACAGGUGUCUUUUAUACAGAUGAUGAGUUCAAACAGGUGCCAUUCAUACAGGUAACGAGUGGGGGACAGAAAAGCGUCUUACAGAAGACGUUACAGGUCUGUGAGAGCCAGAGAUUUUCCUUGUUUGAGGUGACCAAAUACUUAUUUUCCACCCUAAUUUACGAAUAAAUUCUUUACAAAUCCUACCAUGUGGAUUCAUGGAUUUUUUUUUUCACAUUCUGUCUCUCACAGUUGAAGUGUACCUCUGGUGCAAAUUACUGACCUCUGUCAUCAUUUUAAGUGGGGGAACUUGCACAAUCGGUGGCUGACUAAAUACUUUUUUGCCCCACUGUAUAUUUAUUAGUUUCAGGUUGGCCAUUCUUGUAUUUUGCUCGUUUGUGUUGUUGUGUUUGCACAUCUCUGUUGCUUGUGGGGCUCGCACACAAGAAUUUCACUCGCAUGUGCUGUGCCAGUGUGCCUGCACAUGUGAUGUGACAAUAAAAGUGAUUUGAUUUGAUUUGAUUUGAUUAUUCUUUGACAGACAACAGAGCACCAAUCAGGCUCUCCAGGGAAUCCCAACAGUCAACAGGACCCAAAUUCACCAUCAUACAUCCCUCUUGCUGUAGGCUGUAGAAUAGAUCUUUAGCUUGGUCUCAAGAGCCGAACAAGAAAUAUUGUCAUCAGUUAUAGUCAUGGUUGAAUUGGCUAUAGCCUCUGUCCAGGUCCACCUAAAGCAACAGGUAAAUCUCA